rnacentral:rRNA from 1 species
GAUGAACGCUGGCGGCGUGCCUAAUACAUGCAAGUCGAGCGAACAGACGAGGAGCUUGCUCCUCUGACGUUAGCGGCGGACGGGUGAGUAACACGUGGAUAACCUACCUAUAAGACUGGGAUAACUUCGGGAAACCGGAGCUAAUACCGGAUAAUAUAUUGAACCGCAUGGUUCAAUAGUGAAAGACGGUUUUGCUGUCACUUAUAGAUGGAUCCGCGCCGCAUUAGCUAGUUGGUAAGGUAACGGCUUACCAAGGCAACGAUGCGUAGCCGACCGGAGAGGGUGAUCGGCCACACUGGAACGGAGACACGGACAAGACUCCUACGGGAGGCAGCAGUAGGGAAUCUUCCGCAAUGGGCGAAAGCCUGACGGAGCAACGCCGCGUGAGUGAUGAAGGUCUUCGGAUCGUAAAACUCUGUUAUUAGGGAAGAACAAAUGUGUAAGUAACUAUGCACGUCUUGACGGUACCUAAUCAGAAAGCCACGGCUAACUACGUG